rnacentral:lncRNA from 1 species
CAAGGUACUACAAUGACCUGAGCUUUGUAACAAGGAGGGCAUUCCCAUGCACAAGGGUGAGCCCCUGGGCGAGUUCAACCUGAGCUCCACAUCAUGCUCAUCUUCGAGGCACCCAAGGACUUCAACUUGAGGCUGAAGGCAGAACAGAAGAUCUGCUUUGCAGGAGCACUGGGCUCCCUCUAGUCCUCUCGGUUGUGGCUGCCAAAGGAUCUUUCCACACAGGAGCAUGAGGGUCUUUAGCGGAGCCCCAGGAUGUCUAGGGAGACUGAAGGCCAGCAUGUGCACAGGGUAGGUCUGAGCCUAGACAACUCAACAUGACCCUUACAGCCUUCCUGACUGAUUCCUGGGUGCUGGAGCUACACCUGUUUCUUUUGACCUUCACAGCAAGCUGAUGAGCUCAGCACAGUGGCGGACUGCACAGUGGAGGCUGUGGGCUGCCUACAAUACAGCUCUCAUCAGCUCCUGCCCUGCCCUGCCCUGCCCUGCCCUGCCCUGCCCUGCCCUGCCCUGCCCUGCCAGCCUCUCACCAGCAUCUCUGGCUUACCUGGACCUGCUGCUGGGCCUGGAGCUGCUGCCGGAAGGCCUUCGUACCAGCUGUGAAGCGCAGAAGCCGUGUGGCACCCUCCUGUAGGAGCUGCUGCUGGUAGGCUUGCAUAGCCCGUUCCAGCCGUGCCUUCUUCCUCCUCCUCUCAAGUACGAAGCCCAGCCAUGCAGUCCACACCUUGCAGAAGAGAGGACAAGAGAUAAGACUCAGGCUUCUGUGAUGGAUCCCACGACCCAGCCUACAGAGCAGCCCCUGAAGGCAGGAGUGCCCAGGGAAUUAGAACCAUUACCUUUGCUUGUAGUGAGAAGGCCCAGAGCCACAGGGCCCGGGCUGUGCCCCACUGUUCUUGCUUCCGGACUGCCAGCUGUGGGCCAGAAAUGGGUUAUUCAGAGGAAUACACAGCCAACAUGGCAAUGGCCACUCUCAGCCCACCAGCUCAAGCAUCUACCCUCCUUUUACUGGGAAGGGUUCAGGGCCUGGCCUCAUCUUGACCUUGAGAUAGUUAAUAUAUUCAGGGACUGUGAAGGGGGAAAGGACAGUACAAAAGGAAGAAUGCACAGACUCUGACUGGACAGUGAAUGGACAGAAGGAAGGCUCUCCAGCCUAGAGCAAGAACAGACUGUAAACCUGACUGUGCUGAGCAGACUGUGGCCUUCUGGUUUUUUAUCAAGACCCCAACAAAGACUUGAAAUUCACUUCACAUUAACUUUUGGGUAUUAUUCCAGUGUGUUUAAGAUGACACUUUAAGAGAAACCUGAAUUGAAGAGACUAGCCUUCUACAAAUGGCGUAUGAAGGAAGCUGAUAGUGCGGGGGUGGGGGUGAGGCACAGGGAUGGAGCCCUGGGACAAAGACAGUGUUAAAGACUGAACUAGAUGUGGGGCUGAGAUGGCUCUAAGCUGAAGUCUUGCCAGUAGGCAAGAAGUGCUACACUGGUUCUCACCUGCUUCCUCCACUGGCAGAAGCAGGCCCGACUGAGUCUCUGUGCCAGGAGUUGGGCAGCUUGCCUCUGCAGAAACUGGAGAGCAAAUGCACACAGGGUCAGACUCCACAGUCACCUAACUCAGGGUCUAUCCCCAGCCCCUGGGGCAACUGCAAGGGGAGACUCCACCCAAGUGAACACCUUUCUGCCAAGGGCUUCUGCCCCCAUAGUUUCCCCAGAUCUAAAGUCAAGGGUCAGGAGACGCCUCCUCAAGACACGGGCACUUGCUCAAGACACCUCUGACUCAUACAGAGCUUAGAAAGCUGCCACCACGUGCCUCACCUUCUUUCUGAUACACCCCAGAUGGUGUGCCUUCCACCUGGCCAUUGCUUCCAUCAGCAGCUGCCAGUGGUGAUGCUGAGCCGCCUGUCCCAGCUGGAAUCUCUGCUGGGCUGCCCUCUGGCUGCAGAAUCGCCAGUGCUGAAACCAGUUCUGGAGACGACCUGAAGCAAAUGUAAGCUGGCUAAAAACAGUGAGAAAAAGCGACACGAUUCAUGGCCACUGUGGAAGGCCAGGCAGGUCUGGUCAUCUCUACAGUCUGGAAACUAGAACUAGAAUUUCUUUUCGCUGCUGCAUCUCCCAAGUGCUGUCCCCAUAGCUGUCCACAGUCAUUGCAGGUAUCCCAGGACCCACAGAGCAACACCAACAGAUGCUAGGCAUGCAGAAGGAGACUCUUAGUCCCAAAAGGGAGCUUCCUGCUAGAGCUCAGCCUUGGCAGCAGGAAAUGAAGCUCAGAGAGUGAAGUCCAGUAAGCCUGAGGUAUGACCAGGAAAGUAGUAAAGUGUUCUCUUGGGGCCUCACGGUGUAGGCCGUGUCCUGGAGCCUGGAAAUGCCUAAUACAGGAGGUAUCUCUGGAGCCAUUCACAGGCAGCAGUCAUGAGCCUUAUCUUGGAUGGUGUCCACCAGCCAUUUCACAUCUUGGGUGCAGCCUUAAGUGUCCCUAUCUCCCUAGCUACCACUAUGGAUGGCAUCAUCGCUAAGGAACAACAGAAAGGUACAAGACAGAGGGGAACGAAAUGCAGAGUUACGGAACCCAGACCCAACAGAUAUACCUACAAAAACACUCCCACACCUGAGGCUCAGGAACAUUUUGGAAGAGAAGAAAAGAUUCUAAGAACCAGAAGAUCAGGGUGUUUGCUGUGUGAAUGUGUCUCCUAGUAAUGUCAGAAGCCAUCAAUGUGACUACCCAAAUAGGAACCAAACAGGGACAACUCUGAUGGACAGUCACAGUGGACAGGGAAAGGCCCAUGAAGCCUCUACUCUAUACAAAGAACUACUUGGAAACUAAGACAUGCUGAGAGUGGGAGAAAAAGUCUUUCCCAGGAAAGAGCUCACCAGUUGGUUAUUCAGUACUAAGUGGUCUGCCCUGAAGACAUGUAAGUAACACUAUACGGACUGAGCAGGAUACAUAGUAACAACUAAAACAGGAAUAGAAACCCUGACUAAGACAGUGCUUCAACUGCUCAGUCCUUUGCUCAUAGCAAAUCAGCAUUUCAAGCUUUGCAAACUAAGAACGAACAGUUCCCCAGGAACUUUCUGGGCUUCCAGCGCCAGAACGGGACUCCUGAGGCAGCCCACUCUGUAGCCGCUUCCUGACCCGGCAGGACUGACUGCUUGAGGCCCAGCCUCAAGGACAAGUAUCGGAUUCUGAGCAUCUGAGGUGUUAUGUGGAUAAGAUUGUUCUAAAGCUCACUUAAUAAAUGUAUAUGUUAU